CCUACGGGAGGCAGCAGUGAGGAAUAUUGGACAAUGGGCGCAAGCCUGAUCCAGCCAUGCCGCGUGCAGGAUGACGGUCCUAUGGAUUGUAAACUGCUUUUGUACAGGAAGAAACAGUUCUACGUGUAGAACCUUGACGGUACUGUAAGAAUAAGGAUCGGCUAACUCCGUGCCAGCAGCCGCGGUAAUACGGAGGAUCCAAGCGUUAUCCGGAAUCAUUGGGUUUAAAGGGUCCGUAGGCGGUUUAGUAAGUCAGUGGUGAAAGCCCAUCGCUCAACGGUGGAACGGCCAUUGAUACUGCUAAACUUGAAUUAUUAGGAAGUAACUAGAAUAUGUAGUGUAGCGGUGAAAUGCUUAGAGAUUACAUGGAAUACCAAUUGCGAAGGCAGGUUACUACUAAUGGAUUGACGCUGAUGGACGAAAGCGUGGGUAGCGAACAGGAUUAGAUACCCUGGUAGUCCACGCCGUAAACGAUGGAUACUAGCUGUUGGAAGCAAUUUCAGUGGCUAAGCGAAAGUGAUAAGUAUUCCACCUGGGGAGUACGUUCGCAAGAAUGAAACUUAAAUGAAUUGACCGG
rnacentral:rRNA from 1 species